AACAGCCGGGGGCGCGGUCGUCGCCAUGGCUGCCGGCCACUGGAUGCGCCUCAUUUUGAAUCGUGUGCAGAUCACCCGCACCGGAUGCAUCCCUCUCCAUGGCCGUCCACGGCCAGGGGCUUGCUCGUCGCCUUGUCCGCGGUAACUGGACGCACGCCCUCUCCAUGGCAACCGCAGCCAGAGCUUCGCUAGUCGCCAUGACCAACCUGCAAUCAGCCGCGGGGGCGACGAGUUUGUGCUGGAGCCGGGGAUUGCUGGAACCAGUUGGUGGACGUGCUGCAAGGUUGACAGCUCACAGGAGGAAGCUGCAUCCAGCGGCGAGGAGGGUUGCAUCCAAUGUCGUUCAAACGCCGGGAGUUGCAACCAUGUACGCCGGAGCUACAACCGGUGACCGGGGGUGUUGCAAGAGGGAGUGGCCGUUUUUGCUGAUGCGUCUUUUUUUGGUGAACCAAAUUUUUGUUUUUUGCUGGAACCGAUGAAUUUCUUUGCUGGAAUAGAUAUAAUUUUUUGCUU